GACGAACGCUGGCGGCGUGCUUAACACAUGCAAGUCGAACGGAAAGGCCUCUUUCGGGGGGUACUCGAGUGGCGAACGGGUGAGUAACACGUGAGUAACCUGCCCUUGACUUUGGGAUAACUUCAGGAACUGGGGCUAAUACCGGAUAGGAGCUCCUGCUGCAUGGUGGGGGUUGGAAAGUUUCGGCGGUUGGGGAUGGACUCGCGGCUUAUCAGCUUGUUGGUGGGGUAGUGGCUUACCAAGGCUUUGACGGGUAGCCGGCCUGAGAGGGUGACCGGCCACAUUGGGACUGAGAUACGGCCCAGACUCCUACGGGAGGCAGCAGUGGGGAAUAUUGCACAAUGGGUGGAAGCCUGAUGCAGCAACGCCGUGUGCGGGAUGACGGCCUUCGGGUUGUAAACCGCUUUCGCUCAUGACGAAGCUUUGUGUGACGGUAGUGGGUAAAGAAGCACCGGCUAACUACGUG
rnacentral:rRNA from 1 species